rnacentral:lncRNA from 1 species
AACCACUGAAAAUUUAUGUAAAAUAAGGUUUAUCAAUUAUUCAUAAUUACACGUGUACAAAUAUUAAUACAUUCUCUCCGGAAAAAAGGAUUUUAGCAAUGUGGAAUCCAGAUGUAGCUCAAAUAACAUUUAAAACUGCAUAUUUGGGCAACGAUGAACACCUUCAAGAGAAGUUUUAAGAUAAAUGGGGAACCCCAUUUAUCAAAUACUUUCUCUAUGCUCAAUUUUUCAGACAUGUAACAGUUUCUGCCAUAGAAAUUAAAACAGAAACCUGACUACGUCUGAAUCAAACUUAAUAUAAAUUGAAAAACAAUGAAACAUUGUAUAGAAAAAACAAAAAUAAAAAAUAUGUGAAAUCAUGAGCAAAUACUCAGAUUCAAGAUAAAAACCAAAAAAAUGAUGUUUUUAAAUGUGGAAUCCAGAUGUAGCUCAAAUAAUAACAGACAUAUUAUUGGGCAACGAUGAACACCUUUAAAGAGAAGUUUAUAAGAAAACAUGGGAAACCCAUAUUUACCAAAUUCACAAUCUCUCUGUAUAAUUUCCCAGACAUGUAACAGUCCCUACCAAAAUUAAGAAAACGGUAGAAACUUGACUAUGUCUGGUUAUUAACAAAAAAUUAUAAUAAAAUGGGCAAAACAAUGUUAACAGAUUGAAUUAUAAUUCAAAUAUAAUCGAGAUGUAGAAGAUUAAUGUUUUUAUUCUCAUAGGCCUUCUUCUUAUAAUAGGAGAAGGAAGAUGAGAAGAAAGACAAUAAUAUGGAGAGCGAUGCGGCUGAAUCUUUCGGGAGAAGGGGAAGCAGAAAUGAAAC